GGAACCCCUGGUGUGUUCCAGGGGGCCACGGCACACCAAGGCCCAGCAAAAGUGCAGCACGCUGGGGGAGAGGAGGAUAAAGACCCAGGGGUCGAUGAUGGAGUUAACAGAGAUGAAGCGCAGGGCGAUCAGGUCCAGGCGAUCACCUCGCCAAUAGAAGAGUGGGCGGCAGUUUCGAAGAAGGACCCCCGAAUCCAGCCAGCGCAAACCCCAGCUCCAGGGGCAGUGUGCAGAUGAUGAAGAUGAUGGUCAUGAAGACGAGCAGGAUAAGAUGCUCCACCUCCUCAGCCAUAGACGUCGCCCUGCGUUCGCUGUUGGAUCUGGUGCCUGCCAUCACCGAGCCGUUCCUCCUCCGAC